GACGACGACGAAGAGGACUCGCCCGGCGGCGGCGGCGGCAGCAGCGGCGGAGAGACCCCGGCGGCGGCGGCGGCGGCUCCUCCUGGAAAGCGGCGGCCGCGGCAGCCCGCCCCGCUCGUCCCCUCCCUCCCUCCUCCCGCCCUCCCCCGCCGCGGAGCCGGGGGGCAGCGCCGAGGAGCGGAGCCGGGCGGAGCGGCAGGAGGAGGAGGAGGAGGAGGAGGAGGGGGGGACGCAGCCCGGGCCGCGCCGGCCGAGGGCGCACGGAGCGGCGGCACCGACAGCGGCAGCAGCAGCGGCAGGAGGCGGCGGCGGCGGCGGGGCCCCGCGCCCGGGGAGGAGCGCGCAGCCCGCGGCGGGCUUCCCAGCGAGUUUCCUCUUUUUUUCUCCGCUCUCCCCCCGCGGCGGCGGCUGAGCGUCGGCCCCCGGCGGCGAGCCGUCCUCCUCCUCCUCCUCCUCCUCCUUCCUCGCGGGAGCUCCCCUGCCCGCCCCCUCCCCUCCCCCGCGCUCCCUGCCGGCCCGCCCGCACCCCGCCGGGCGCCCCGUGCCGCCGCCGCCGCCUCGCUCGGCGGAGCUGCUGCGGGCGCCCGCCCUCCGCGCGCCGGCCGCCGUGGAAUAUGGUUGGGGAAAUGGAAACCAAGGAGAAGCCGAAGCCGAGCCCCGAUUACCUGAUGCAGCUGAUGAACGACAAGAAGCUGAUGAGCAGCCUCCCCAACUUCUGCGGGAUCUUCAACCACCUCGAGCGGCUGCUGGACGAAGAAAUUAGCAGAGUACGGAAAGACAUGUAUAACGACACAUUAAAUGGUAGUACGGAGAAGAGAAGUGCAGAAUUACCAGAUGCUGUGGGACCUAUUGUACAGUUACAAGAGAAACUAUAUGUGCCUGUAAAAGAAUAUCCAGAUUUUAACUUUGUUGGAAGAAUCCUUGGGCCCAGAGGACUAACAGCUAAACAGCUUGAGGCAGAAACAGGAUGCAAGAUAAUGGUCCGAGGGAAGGGCUCAAUGAGAGACAAAAAGAAGGUCUCCUUUAAGAGCAGAGACAACCAUGAUCCAGCAGUUAUGGAGGUAGAGGAAGAACAAAACCGAGGCAAGCCCAACUGGGAACACCUUAACGAAGAUUUACAUGUACUUAUCACUGUGGAGGAUGCUCAAAACAGAGCAGAAAUAAAACUGAAGAGGGCUGUUGAAGAAGUUAAAAAGUUACUGAUACCCGCAGCAGAAGGAGAAGACAGCCUUAAAAAGAUGCAACUGAUGGAGCUUGCAAUUCUGAAUGGCACCUACAGAGAUGCCAACAUCAAAUCACCAGCCCUUGCCUUUUCUCUUGCAGCAACAGCCCAGGCUCCAAGGAUCAUUACUGGGCCUGCGCCUGUUCUCCCACCAGCUGCCCUGCGUACUCCUACGCCAGCUGGCCCUACCAUAAUGCCUUUGAUCAGACAAAUACAAACCGCUGUCAUGCCAAACGGAACUCCUCAUCCCACCGCUGCAAUAGUGCCACCAGGACCCGAAGCUGGUUUAAUUUACACCCCGUACGAGUACCCCUACACGCUGGCACCAGCUACAUCAAUUCUUGAGUAUCCUAUUGAACCUAGUGGUGUAUUAGGUAUGGCUUUCCCAACGAAAGGCUAAGAAUUCAAGAACGGUCUUAAACUGAUCCUUCAUCAGAUCUGAAUCUUAACAAAUGCUUAGUUUCAGCAGCCUUGAAAAAAGCUUGGCCUAGCAGUCAGUGACUUACUUGCACUUUUUUUGCACAUAGAUUUAAAAUAAAAUAGUGCUAUUAAUUUGGAUUAGCCCCUAUUAUUACAGAGUAGCUGUAAUUUAUGAGUGUAUAGUAGUAUACUGACUGCUAAGUGUUCUAUAUAGUGUUUGCUUUACUAAUCACCUAAUUCAUUGCAGUUCAUACUUAUUGACUUAAAGUUUAAAAUCACAAUCUGUAGGCUUGAAGAAUUGCUUUAAAACUUUUCUUUUUGUGGUAGAACUGGAAGUGAUCUUAAGGUUAGCAAAUAAUUGUCAGUAUUAAAAGAUGGCAUUAUUUAAAAUAGUCCUGCUGCAAGAAAGGCACUUCAGUGAAUAUGUGACUAGUAAAGCUUAAAUGUGCUUGGGUCUAAUAGAUUUCAUGAAAUACUGUAAUUUUGGGAUUGUAAAUGAAUGGAUUAAACAGGUUAAGGCCAGGAUGUUUAAAAUAAAUGCAAUAUUAAUCUGCACAGAUAAACUUCUUAAGGUUAAGAUUUGAAACUACUGUGCCUUAACUUGUUGCUUUUCUUAAAAUGAACUUUUGUAGUUAAUGAUCAUUUAAAUCCAUUUUGAUAAACCUGCUGUUAAUGUUUUCUUUGAAUGUUUUCUAACUUUGUCUUGGUAAUUGCAAUUUAACUAGGUGCGGUGGCUACUAAAGUUCGAAGGCACGAUAUGCGUGUCCAUCCUUACCAAAGGAUUGUGACCGCAGACCGAGCCGCCACCGGCAACUAACCUAUGACCUUCUGACCUCUGAACUCUUCACCCAAUGAUGACCUGACCAUGCCUGCCUGCUGAUCAGUUAACUGGUAAUCGCCUUUGCUUGCCUGUCUUCAGUGCAGCGAGCUGGGGCACUUGUCCGUUCGUCUUACCAUCUAACAAAACAGACAAAGAAAUUGUUGUCCUCCAACUCCGCUUUUUUGUGUUCUCCUGUCUGGGUGAAAGUGGUUCUAGAACCUGCACUGAAUAGUAGUAAAGCAAUAAGGUCCAAUUCAUCCCUCCGCACUGAUCAUCCUCUAGCGUCCCGCCCCAAGCGAACGGUAAGGAGGCCUCGCGCGAGAUGGAGACAGAUGUCCCUUAACUACCGAUGACAGAGGCAGUUACUGUGAGAGACUUCUAGGAAUAUUUUUCUUCUCAAAAAAGAAGUCCGAGCUCUCUCUGAAUGUACUGUGUGAUGAUGCAUCAUGCAUGAACCUUUGGUCAGGGAUGUCAUUGGUGAAGGGAUUCCAAAAAGUAUUCAAAAUUUGACGUGCUGUUUAGUCACUACCAGUGCCCUCAAAGGGCCAAAGUUGCAGCCUUUUUUCUAUUGCCUGCCAAAUUGGAUGUUUUAAAAGAAAGCGUGCCAUGAGAUACAGAUCACAAUGAAUUUUCAGAACUAUGUUAAUGCAGAGAACAAAACAGCAACACUAUGAAAGCGAAUCCGAGUUUAAAUUAUUUUAACCAUACUUUAAUCUCCUCAGAAGAUUACAUGAGAACAAGGUACAUGCAUUAUGUGUCACAUUACUGGGCAAACUGUUCAAAUAUUUUUUUUAAACCUCCCUGUAUAGAAAAAAAAUUCAUUAAGGAUGUAAAAGCCAUGCUUGCCUAUUUGCUGUAUACAUGUAACGAAAUUGUAGAUAAAGUGUAGUGCAUUGAAACAAAAUGAACAAAAAAAAGUAGAUACUUUUACUAUACAAGGGUGCUGGUGCAGAAAAAAAUAUAUUUUUGGAAAUGUAGCAUUUUAUACUUUCAAGUGUUAUAAAAAAAAAGAAAAAAAGAACAAAGAAACCCUUUAUUUCAUUAAAUGAUUUUUUCUGGUGGUUGUCAAGAAACAAAAGACCAAAAGAGCCUUUUAGUCUUUCUUUUUUAUUUUUUAAGUAUUGGAAUAAGUCUAAAGAAAAGGAAGUGCCUUAUUUUCUUCAUGGUCAUUUAGUCAAAUGUCUUGUAUAAUCAGCUUCUCCCUCAGACAAGUUACUGCAUGCCACUCAGUCGCCCAGUAUGUGAAAAGAAGCUGUGAGGAAAGACAAAUGAUGAGUUGACCAUAUUAAUUACCUGAUUUUUGCCAUAUUAGUGUGAUGUGACUUUGCCAAAAAUGUGUUAUGGAAACUAUUUGCUAAGGUUUUGUCAGUCCAGCCCAUCAUUAUUUCCACAACUCUACUUUUCAAAUCAGAGCUAAUACAGUACUUGUGCAAUGUAAACCAAAGGGUUCUGUGUUACAGACUGUCUCAUUCUAAAUUAGACUAUUAGCUGAGAAAUGUUUGUAGAGCUGGAACUAUUUCAUUUUUGUUCAGGGAUGGCGAUGAGUUUUCUUGAUUUUUGGUUGCAUCAGACAUAGCAGACUACAGUCAUCCAGAAAAACUGGUGUUCUGCAGAUAAUGAAAUUGAAAGUGCUUAGCUAGUCCUCAGUUAUGAUCUGAGCAUGUUCCCAGUUUUUGUAAGCAGCUCCUGCAGUGUCAAACAGUAUGCAAGUUACUUAUUUUUCAGCUUUUUUUUUUUUAUUAUUAUUAAUGUUAGAUCUGCCUACUGGCUUUCCUUUGUAAGAUAAGCAGGAGAGGGACAUCAGUUAGUUGUUUGAAGCCCAGCUAUACUGUAUUUUUAACCCUCGCUUCCACAUGAGAUUUAUGUAGCUGGGCAAUCACAGGAGUUGAAGCUGUUGAACGCACAGUAUUUAAUUCUAAAAACAUUAAGUAUUACUUUGUGUGGGGCUCAAAACUAAACUUGGCAAAUAUCAGGUGAUAACUUUACUCCCCUUCUCGUCAACUUAUUCUCCUCCUGCAAAUCUUCACAGCUUCCAAAUGAAAGGUCAAUAGUAAGCUAAGAGGGCUUACAUUUUUAAGCACCUGCAUGGUGACCUCAUCUAACAUCUUGUUUCACCUGGAAAUAAUUAUCAGUUUAUUUACUAUGCAAUAGACAUUCAUCCUUUCAUAUUCAGCUAGCUUUUUGUUUAUUGUGCCACCGGCUUUGUCUUCCUGUUACACAUACAGUUGUGUUGAUUUUACUUACAGUAUAUGCUGUGCCAUUUUGAUUUUUUUUUUUUGGUUGGUUGGUUGAAUAAACUUGCGACACUCGAACAUUUGAAGAGAGAUUUGCUAAAACAAUACCAGUAUUUGAUCCAGUUUCAUCUCAACUAUGAUAAAACCUGGACAUUUUUAGAUGUUUAUCAAAGGUCUUUUAUUGGGGAUGGGGGGGAAGUGUAUGAAACAGAUGUGUGACAUGUGAAAGUAAUGUUUGCUCUGAACAAACUUCUAAAAACUUAGUUGACAAAAUUUUGGAUCAACUUAAAAAAAAAAGCAUGACUUUUGAAAUCUCUGAAUGCCUUGGUUCUCAGUAUUAUCAUUCUUUAAUGACUUUUUCUUUAUUAAAAUAAGUAGUUUUAAGACUUCUUUCUGACAGUAUUAUGUAAUUUUUUUUAGAGUGGGUAGAUGGGAGUGUCGCUUGUAUGUAACCGUACAGAUGACAUGUAUUUGUCUAUUCUUUAUUAUCUUAGUAGUUUCAUGCUAUGUAUGUACCAUAACCAACCUAUUGCCUAUGAGAAACAUGUAAGAUAAUGUAUUUACAGCCAUUGUUACAAGUUUAUAAUGUAUUUUUCUAUCUUGUUUUAUAUGUAUGUUAUAUAACAUUCAAAAGAAUUUUUUUCCUGAUUGAGAAAAAAAAAAAGGAUACAAAAUGCAAAACCCACAAUUUUGAUAACUGAAAAAUUGCCAAUUGUUUUGCAGUACUUUAUUAUAUUGGGAGUGUUGUCUUUCUUGGGCUUUUAGUUAGCUACUGGAUGAAUACAUUAGACAUAUUUGGGUUUUAGUUGGGUUUUUACAUAGCUUGCAUUUUAAUUCUUUGGUUCUUUGCUGUUUCUAUUAACCCAUAGCAUUAUUUUAAUAAAUGUUAUAAUACCAACCUACUAACUCUGGACUAUGUCUGUUUAUUAACCAUUACAUGUUUAAUUAAAGUAAACAAAUAAAGACGGAAGAAUGUAAAGUCUUGAGUUACUGGACUAACCCUGAAGAACGUGACCACAGAUAACACAACGUGACUUGUUUUUAUGUUGUUUGUCGGCUGACAUUCUGCACACUACUAUUAAGUUGGCUUUGGUCAUCCUGGCCUUUUACCUUGGGGAAUAGGUGCCAGUAGAUACGGGAACAAAGUAGCAAAUUUUUUUUUUUUUUGAGGCAUUCUUCUUGUAGAGUCUUGCCACUUGCCUUUCAGCAUCUGCAUUACUAAUUCCACACUUUCUUUUUCUUUCUCUAAAAUAAUUACUCUCAGCUCACAGCAAAAGAGCAAAGAUGGCAAUGUAUUGGAAAAUCAUGAUGGUGUACAGAAACCAGUUUGAUUCUUUGUUGAACCAUUCAGAGGUUGCAGUUAAUCUCGGCAAUCUGGGAGGUGUUGGUUUGGGCACCUGUUGCAUUGCGGGAUAUUUCCAAGCACAAAAUACAUCUAGAUGUAAUUACCAUGAAUUGAAAUACAAAAUCUUAUUUUUUUCCUUGCCAAAAGUGCCUUAUUUUCUUCAUGCCAUGCUAUUUUUAUGUAUUUUUUUUUUGUACUUCUGCAAUAGUCUAUCAGUAUUGCAUAGCUCAGGGGAGUACAAUUUCUGUAAGCCAAAGGUCAGACUGGAUCAUUUCGUAAUGACUGCAGAAAGUACAAAAACACACCUUUCACUAAAUUACUGAGCAAGAGCCAUUUCAAAUUCCAGGGCUGCCUUUAUGUAAUCUUUGUCCCUGUGGAUGACUGUAGCAACACGAAUGCAGGGAAUUGAAAUGGCGAAGAUGCUGUUUUGAUUGUACCUCUAUGCAGAUUAUUUUUACAGAAACAUUUCUCUCUCAAACCUUCUGUUGUCUGAGGCUCCUUUACGUAGCCUGGAUUUGUAAUCUUAAGGGGACAGUUAUAGUGAAUGUCAAGGGAAAUCAUUGAUGUAGAUUACUCUUCAGAUACCCGCAGUUUUUGUGAGACCCCAUUUUUUUAUGUAGAUAGCACAAAAAAAAUUCAGACAAUGAGGCAAUGAGGCUUUGCAUUUGUUCAGAACCUUUAAUUUAUGAUGUUUCAAACUACACAUCUUGAAAUCUAUGUGAUAGAAAACUUUAAGAAGUUCUUAUAUGUAAUAAUUAAAAUAGAAUGUAUCUUUAUUUUAUGGAGGAAAAAUAGGUUAGCUGUGAUGAAGACGUUUGUUUUAUAAUAGUGUGUACUUUUUUGUUUGUUUUACAAAAGUGUUUAGGUACAGCUAGAAUAUCAAUGCAUUUAGAAUAGUUUCACUUGUACAGAAAUAAAAACAGAUCGUGAAUAUAGUGUUAUCCCAAAAGUCAGUCACAGUUAGAUGGUGGAGAAAAAAACAGAUAAUGUUGAGACCUUUUGAUUAGGUAAUGGCACAGGUGUCAUUGCAGAUCCACUAGUUUAUAUUAUUAAAAUAUUUCAUCAGAGGCAUGCAUUUAAACUCUGAAGUAUUCUCUGGUGUAAGUGAAACUAUUCAAAUAUGGCAAACUAAUAAUGCUCUAUAUUGAAAAAUAGUUCUAAAGCUACUGCGUUUUUGCAGUAUUUUUUAUGUUUUCUAUUUUUAUUAGUUAUGAACUACUGUCAUACAUUGUUCACAGUGCAUUUUCAUCUCAUUCUUUAAAGUAGUGAAAAUUGCCUUAAAUUUUGAAGUACUUUAAAGCUGAAGGAAAGAAAAAAAAAAAUCAAAAUUUUAUGCUCAUUGCUGUUGACCACCAAAUGCAUUUCUCAGUUUACCUAAGUGCCUGUCUGAAAAUUUAACUACUUUAUACUUUGCCUGCUUAUAGGAAAGACACAGGCUAUUUUUAGAACCGAACUUGAGGAUGGUUUCAAUAUUGCUACAUCAUUGGAGCUAGGUUGUUUUUUUUCUUUGUUUCUAUUUUGGGAUUAAAUUGUCUUUACAUUUGAAAGCUCAUACAUUCAAGUUAAGUAGAGAGUUGCUGGUCCAUCAAAUACAGUGGAUUAAUCUUAGGAUAAACUUUUUUUUUUAAGUAGCUCAGAAUGUAAACAAAAACACCACAGAACCUUUUAAAAUGAAAUCUCAGAAUUGCUAUUGAUUUCUUAAGUGAACUGUUGAACCAAAUUAUAACAAAUUUUACUUCUCCAAUAUUUUUUUUUCUGUGCUACCAAUCUAGAAAAUACUUCAUAAAGAGUCUUCAGGGAUAUCUUUCAAAGAUUUUUAAUGAACAUGUGCUCAGUGUAUACUGAUGAUUUUUAUAUUUUAUUUGAACACAUCUUUAAAAAGCAUGUAAAAAAACAAAUGCAUAUAACAGUUUAUUCCAAGAUGGACUCUCCAAGAGGGACCACUAAAAAGUUUUCUGCCCUGAUAAUGCAGGGAAGCAUUGAAGUGUGUUGCUGCCCAUUAAGAAAUCACUAACUUGGGAGAAACAUACGAGUAUAUGAGACCUAGUUCUUUGUAUCUGGGUAACAAUUGCAGUCGUCAUAAAUAGCAUGUUGUGCAGAUGAAAUCUGAAUAACACAUUCCUAGGGUGAAAGUACAUAAUUGUUACUGGAAUUUGUUUUUAAUAUACUUGAUACAUUUUUCUAAAACCCUAUUAAUGGAAUACUGUUCAAAUAACACAAGCCAUAACGUUAACACAUGGUGAUCAAUGUUGAAUCAAACUGGUUAACACAAGUACAGUGCUCUUCCUUCUGUGUGCCUGCGCACUAAUUGCAGGUGGUACGGUUCUGCAUAGGAGCGGGCGGGGGGCGCAGCGGGUGGGUCCUUGCAGUGCCCAUUUCUUGGUGCCAGCAGUCCGGACGUCCGUCUCCGACAACAGGCUAACCGGGAGGAAUCUUGACUCCCAAGGCAAGGAUUUGCUGAGAUCUGAAACUCUUCAAUUAAUUAAUUUAAAAAGAAAUACAUAUAUACAUAUAUGCUUCUACUUGUAUUAUGGCAGUUUGUGUGAAACAUUUAAGGUUUUGUUUGUGCAAAAUAAUGUAUUCUGAGGGGGAAAAAACAUGGACAUUGCCAAAACACAUGUAAAUAAAACACCAAUUAUGACUGUACAUUAUGUGCAAUAAAAUAACUGGAAAAAAGUGCAUGUACUUUAUCCUCAAAAGCAAAUUGACAGCUCCCAAAGCUGUAGCUAUAGUAUUAUUUUCUGAAAAAAUUAAAUUUUAUUCUGUAUCUAAACAGCAGAAUAAAGAAUGUACAUUUUUCA